CCGUCGAUAGCUCAGUUGGUAGAGCGGUGGACUGUAGAUCCAUAGGUCGCUGGUUCGAAUCCGGCUCGACGGA